AAUAAUAUCGCUUUGUGAUAUAAGAAAAGUUUUUAUCGAUACUCUUCUUCCAUAGACUGUUUAUGGUCAUAUAGCUAUUAUCAAUCCUUGGCUCUUAAAUAAUUGACUUUGAACGUUCUUGGUGAAGGUAAAUCAAGAAAGGCCAUUUGGUCACAUGAAAUUUAUAUAACGUGUUGUUUUUAUUUUGACAAUUCUUGAACCAAACUUUAAAAUUUGAAGACAAAAUGAUUGUAUAAAUAUUGUUUUGAGGGGGAAUGAACCUUUUUGUUUUAACUUUCAAUAAAUUUUGGGGAGAUUCCUGAAAUAAAAACCAACCUUGACAUCAACCCUUUUAUACUUUAAGAAUAAAAUGUAUGUGGUAGUAUUGUACAGAAAAGAUGUUUUCAAAGUUUAUUGUAAUUAAAAAAGGCUAUCUAGACUGGAUUGACAAAAUAAAGCAUGUUGAACAAAAAUUGCUGAAUUAACAAAAACAAAGAAUAUAGAAUAACCGAGUGCUUUAAGAGUAUAGGGAACAUAGAUUAAUUUACAAAAUUAAUAGAGAAAAGAAAAAUAUGGACAAUACAAAUAAAGAAUAAAGAAAAAUCGGCAAAAUAAAAAAAAAUUAAUAGAGAAAAAUGUCAAAAGAUUUUUAAUAAUUUUCCCCCCUCAUCUGAGCAGGAUUAAAAGUGAGUUCAACUUGUUGAUUGAUAAAUUCAGAUGUAAUUUUGUUUCAUUGAUUUUGAAAAAAAAGUUUAUCUAUUACAAAAUGUAUUGUAUGAACCCA
rnacentral:lncRNA from 1 species